AUCGGCUUACUCGGGGACAACGGCGGUGGUCUACAAAUCGAGCGAGAGGAGGAAGGUGGAAGAGAGCGGGUACAGAAUCGUUGGCAAUAUCGGAGACCAAUGGAGCGACCUGCUCGGAAUCCAUGCCGGCAACCGAACCUUCAAGUUGCCUGACCCCAUGUAUUACAUUAGUUGAUCCCUUUCAUCAGUUUCUCUUCAUUGAUCGGGCCCCAUUUAAGUCCAAUAAAUCUCUCGAGAGGAACAAUGUAUGCAUUAGACCAGUCAAAAUGGGUUAUAAACCAAUUUCUUCGCCCAUAUGUGAUUUCUUCGCCCAUAUGUGAUGACAAUUAUUAUAUGAGUACGGUAUAAAUGGAUUUAGAAUAUUAAAACCCAAAAUGAUAUGGGUAUCAAAUAAAUUCAUAACUUAUUUCUAAAGGUAUGAAUUUUCUUAGAUUUGAUUAAAUACAUAAGUGUUUUAACUAUAUGAGUCGGAUCGAGUAUGUAUUAGGUUACUAUAUUUGUAUUGCAUAAAAAUGAAUCAAAAUGGGUUAAAUGGAUUAAUCUUGAUUAGACGUCAAACCGGACCAAAUCAAUCCAAUCCACGAGUCUAGUAUGCAUUGAUUAGAUGUAUCUAAACACUCUUAUCAUUUAGACACUUAAUUCUCAAGCAAUGACAAAGAUCUUUUAAUAAUGUAUGCAGGUCACAUUUGCUUUAUUCUAUUCACCCACCCGAUAAAAAAAAUUCGGGUUAUGUCUCCACUGAUUAGAUAAUCAAGUAAUAUUGUAUCAUUUUUCAGAAUUUUGACUCAUGCGGAAGUUAUAUCACGUAACAUUGCAUUAUAUUAUACGGAACAAAGCUCAUUAAAUACUUUGGACUCGCUUAUUCCGUGGGACAACAAAUAGAAUUUCGGAUCGCAAAUAUAUUGUUCCAUUAGGGACAAAUUGUUGGUCGACUCUAAAGGUCAUUUGCUAGAGACAUUUCAUAUAUGAAAAUUCACUAUCACAUGAAUAAGUUACCACGUAUAAAGUCUUGUUUUUCUAUGUGAAAAGCGUGAAUAGUAAAUUGGUUUCCCGUGCUUAACAAUUUUUCCAUGACAAAAAGUUAAUUUUCUUUUAGGUGAAAGCCUAUAUUUUUUUUAGCUUGCCUAUUUUUUUUCCAGUCCAUUCUUUGGAUUUUCAAUUUGUCUAAUCAGUCAUUGAAGUUAUAUACCUCUUUAAAUCAAAUGUUUUGCGGCUCCAAUUUCAAGAGCCUAACGCCAAAUAUAUAUAUAUUUCAUUAUGGACUAUCAAAAAACUUAGGAGACUAACUCAGAAUAUAAAGACCAUGACUAGAUUUUAAGCAAUGAAAUCUCCCAACACGAAAUUUGCUUUUGGUUUUUUGCAUCGAAAAUUUUGCUUUCUUCAACGAUCGUGUCUGUUUUAAUUGACUAUAUUUGGAACUAGAGAUAUACAACCGGAAAAGUUAUCCAAAAUAGGAGCGUAAUCGAGUCGAGCCAAGUGGAUACCCUGUCAAGUUUGAGCUCGACUUGCAUAUGCAACACAAAAACUAGAUCAACUAUUAGAAUAUGUGCCGGAGCUCUACUUGACUAUAAAAUCGAGAUACUCAUACUCACUUCGGCUCAACUCAGCUCAAGGUCAAUUAAUUUAUCAAGGAACUCAAGCUCGAGCUCUAGCUUGAUCCCAAUUUUCUAAAGGCUCAAAUAAUGUGAAUAUGUUAUGUAGUCUUUAUUAGAAAAUUUGCGGAAAGCCAUGAUCUCGAUGAUCAUGAUCAAUUGCAGAAACGUAUGAAAUCUAUACUAGCUCCAGCCAUUAAUGAUAUUAAGAAUAGAUAUGUGGAGCUUGAGCAAUCAUGAAUGGGCACUUCUAACCAAUUGCCCUCUUGACGUUCAUGGCGUGCUCUCUAAUUAUCAGAUAUUUAGAAUGAUGAGAAUAAUAAGAAGGUUUGGCUUAGAUGACCUAUUUAUAUGCCCAUACAAAUUCUAAUAGAUAUACUCUUCCAUCAAGACUAAUCCUAAUAUAUAUGGACAAUAUUCAUAGUUAUCGACUACUAGAUUGGAUAAUAAAUCCUCAAUGAAAUCUAAUGUAGUCGGCCCAUUUUUCCCGCUGCUUGUGUAUUAUGAAAGAUCACGCAAACACCACCAAAUCAGCUCCAUCCAUUACGCGGGAACAUCAAUCGUGGCGACCAAGGGGCGAGCGAUCGAUUGGCACCGAGGUGAUCGAUGGAAACAAAAAGGCAGCGGGAGGGAAACCGAGGGAAAUGAGGAAGCGAGGAUACCGUCGCCGAGGGAGAGGAGUGGCUGUGAGGAGCAAUCGCAGCGGCAGGGAGGGCAGGAGGCGGAGGGGCCACCGCCGCCGCCGCGGCGGACGGAGGCGAGGGCCUUGGUGGCGCGCCAGUGCAGAGGGGGCUCUACUAUGUAGCACAACAUGCACACCGCCAUCACUGCGAUGAACGACUUCAGCACCCUCAGCUGUUGCUGAUUCAUCUCUCUCCCUCCCCCUCGCGGGAUGUACGCGUGUAUGAUUUCGAGCCCGAGCCACGGCGGCGGCAGCAAAUGGUGGGCGAUCGAUUGUUCGCAGGAACCGCGGAGGAGGAGGAGAGAGAGGCGCGUGAUGGGGGUCGUUUCCCUCCUAAAAGCAAGGGGAGUUUUAAGAAGUCUACACUUGCUAGAAUUGAGGUGCAUUAAAGAGAAAAUAUAAAAGAACAAAAAAAAAAUUUUGUAGGAUUUUGAGUGAAUUUAUUUGAUUGAUUGUGUAAUGGGAUCGUAAUUAAAUAAUUGUAAGUAGAGUCGAUUUUCUUUUUCUUUUUUGGGAUGAAGAGAGAGUAGUGGUUAGUUUUAAUUUGUGAUGUAUGACUGAUUUUGGAAGAUAAUUGGUCAAUCAUUGAGUUAAGAGUAGACAGAUUAAUGACAGAUUAACCAUUGAGUUAAUUUUAUGAAUAGUGAAAUGUUUCCAAUCAUUGAGAAAUCUUUUCCACUCAUUCAUUUUUUUUAAAUAAUAAAAAUAAUUAUUUUUUAAAAAUAUUUUUCACAUCACUCAUUCUCCAUAAAAUAAAUAUAACCUUAGUUUGACACAAAGGAAGCCGUCUAUAUACAUCACAUAUACAUCACAGGAGCUCAAUGAAAAAUAAAAUGUGCUUUUUAUCAUUAUGUAAUUGGCCACUAAUAAGUAGAAUCAAAGGAGCAUUGAAAAAUGUAAGGAAUUAUGACAUAUUAUAAGUCUAUUAUCCAUCCACCGUAAAUUUUCACUCGGGUGAAAUGCAUCAUAAAGUGACAAAAAGACAUGAAGAAAAUGCUCAUGUCCUUUGUUCAGAUUGAAUUGAAGUUGGAUGCUUUGUUUUUUUCUUCUUCUUUUUUUUUUUUUUUCUUUUUUCUAAUUAAAGCAGAUAUGAAGGCAUCUUUUGUCCCAGAAGAUUGGGGACCGAUCGUGACAUGACGGUUUCACGAAUAAAACGUGCCCCAAAAAAAGCUUGGCUGAAAAGUCACGAGAAUUAUUCGUACAAUUUAAAAAAAAAAUAUAUAUAUAUAUAUAUAUAUAAGAAAUUAGGAAGAGGGUCCUCCAUUAAUUAAAUAUUUUUCAGAUUUUUGGAUAAUGUUAUAAAUGUGAUUACUGUCCGAAUUACUCGACUUUCUUAUUUAACAGUUUAAAUCAAUAAUGCAGAUUUUUUUUCUUAAUCUACAUAUAAGCCAGAGGAUUAAUGCAUGUUUCCGGUGAAAUUCCAAAGCAUUUGGACGGUGAAGAGGUGAGGCAGGAACUCUGUACGUGUGGAUAUGGCCAUAUGCCGGAGGAUAUUCAUGCAGCUACAUGGGAGAUUUUUUUUUACCCUAUUUAUCUCGUAAGUGUCCUAGUCAAUUGUCAUUUCAUCGUACAAUUAUGUACUUUUAGCCUGUAUAGCUUCCCCACGGAUUUGAUUAGCUUAAUCAAAAUUGUCAACUAUCUCAAAACAAAGGAAAAACAAAAACCAAAAAAAAAAACAAAAGGGCUACGUGGCGUGAUGUUUAUCGACAUAUAAUUCUAAGUUCAUGUCGUAUGGAGAGGCGAUGUUGAGCCUAUUUAAAGGAGCGUCCUCGUGGUAUAGCAAGCCGAAGAUUACACCUAUUUCUCCCUCUCUCUCGAGGCAAAAAAUGGGGAAAGAAAGUAUGUGGGCGUUGCUCAUCUUUGUGGCCGCAAUCCGAGGCUCGCUCGCCGGAAUCCCCCGUGAAAUCCACCUCCUCCGGCCGCACUCGGGCUCCGCCGGGGAGCGUGUGCACGGCCUGUACUGCCUGAGCUGGAGGCUGGGCGUGGAGACCCACAACAUCAAGAAUUGGAACACGGUCCCCCGGGAGUGCGAGGGCUACGUGGGUCACUACAUGCUGUAUCAGUAUAGGGAGGACUCGAAGGUGGUGGCGCGCGAGGCCGUGCUCUACGUCAAGAGCCUGAAGCUUGCCGGAGACGGCAAGGACGUGUGGGUGUUCGACAUCGACGAGACCUCGCUCUCCAAUCUGCCUUACUACGCGGAGCAUGGAUUCGGGUAUGUUACAAAUGCAUUAAGCUUUUGUUUUCUUUAAUUCCUCUUUCAUUUUGACGGUCCAAAACAGUGAAAGAAAGUGAUUUCACAAGCCUUGUCAAAGCCCAAGCAUGUGUUUACUUUUUGCCAAAGUUGAAACUUGAGUACCUGAAUAGAUUUCUUCGAAGAUGUCGUGUUUGUUUGAUUGGAUCCACGGUUGUUCGCUGUAGAAAGACAGUCGUCGGGGGUAAAAUCUGAAAAGCGCCCUGUAGUUACCAUCUUAACUACCAUUAGUCUAUCUGAACUUACUUCAUAUAGAUUUUUACAGUGAAGACUCUUUCUCUGUAUCUGCGAAAAGAUUAUAUUUUGAUGAUAAUGCGGGUUUUGCCGAUUGCUCGGCGUCUUUCAUGUGUUGGUAUCGGGUACUUGGAAUGAGCUCGUAAACGAUAGUCGGCCGUCCUAGGGGAGAAAAGGAUGUAUGACGUUGUCGCCUUGAAAAACAAUAAUGGUGGUCAUUGAACAAAGGAUAGGUACCAUCUAUGUUCAUCUCAUGAGACUUAGUCAAAGUAUAGUAAAGAAAAGAUAAAGAGGAGAGCCACAUGGAGGAGGUAGAUGGUAAAUGCUGUAUGUUUUAAGAAAGUAUACUCUUGCAUAAUAAUGCUGGUCGAAAAUCUUAUCCUUUUAGCCCUUUCCUCUCCUUGGAAUCCGCGAUAAUGUAGAUGCAAAAUGGGUUCUUGGACCACGUGAAAAGCAGAAGCCUCAAGAGUCCAAGAAAAAUAACGCAACGUGCUUGCUUAAUAGGUCCAGAAAGGAGAUCUUGCCAAAGUUGUCUCCUUUCUUGCGGAACUUUGAAAAUCAACGUGGACGGCGAAAUACGUAUGAUAUUGCUCUCUAGUUUGUCUGUAACAUCGCCAAGUCAUAACUUCCACAAGCAAAUGAAUAAGACCUGCGUGCACGAAAUUAUAAUGAAUCAUACGAUGAUGUGAUUUCUUCUGCCGUUGGAUAACCUCAAUAUGCAAGACGAUCCGCCCCUUCCCGGGUUCGGAAACAGUACAUUGAUCAUGUCGGAUUAAAAAUGUAAAAUUGGCUGUUGUCCCUGUCAUUGGAAUUGCCCACAUGAUUGGAUUCCGAGUCGACACUGCUGACAAAAGAGGGACAGCUUGGACUGUUCAUGACAGGACAUAAAGAACUCAAAAGUAAUCUUAUGCUACUUCUAGGAUUUCUUUUUCAUUCCUAGAGAAACACAAUCAUGUCCAUCCCUAAUUCGUUGCGCUUUGGUUAGCUUUGUAAUCCAUUUUCAUGUGUGAAGUAACCGGUCUAAUUAUCGAAUGCGCAGGGUGGAGCCCCUCAACCCGACGCAGUUCGGUCAGUGGAUCCUAACUGGCAAAGCACCGGCGCUGCCGGAGACACUGGAGCUGUAUCGGGAGCUGUUGAAACUGGGGAUCAAGCCCAUCUUCCUCACCGGAAGAUCCGAGGACGCGAGGAACAUCACUUCCUCCAAUCUCAGGAACGCUGGGUUUCGCACUUGGGAGAUGCUCAUCCUGAAGUAAGCUCGCCUUCCGACUUCUUUAUCCACCUGAAACGCGACGAAAGAAGCAAGAAAACUAUACGAAAUUCAUUGCUUCAUCCUCUAUAGACUUAAAAUGAUUGAUUAGGGUUACAACCUCAUGCCUUAAGUCAUUCCGUAUCGAAAUUGGAUUCACCGGUCGUUUGGGUUUGCAGGGGAUCGGCUUACUCGGAGACCACGGCUGUGGUGUACAAAUCGAGCGAGAGGAGGAAGGUGGAAGAGAGCGGGUACAGAAUCGUUGGCAAUAUCGGAGACCAAUGGAGCGACCUGCUCGGAAUCCAUGUCGGCAAUCGAACCUUCAAGUUGCCUAAUCCCAUGUAUUACAUUAGUUGAUCCCUUCAUCAGUUUCUCUUCAUUGAUCG
rnacentral:lncRNA from 1 species